rnacentral:rRNA from 1 species
UACGUAGGGUGCAAGCGUUAAUCGGAAUUACUGGGCGUAAAGCGUGCGCAGGCGGCUUUGCAAGACAGAUGUGAAAUCCCCGGGCUUAACCUGGGAACUGCAUUUGUGACUGCAUGGCUGGAGUGCGGCAGAGGGGGAUGGAAUUCCGCGUGUAGCAGUGAAAUGCGCAGAUAUCGGGAGGAACACCAGUAGCGAAGGCGGCACUCUGGGCCGUGACUGACGCUGAGGAGCGAAAGCGUGGGUAGCAAACAGG